rnacentral:lncRNA from 1 species
CUGGUCUUUGAUAUGUUGAAUUAUUUCUGGAUCAUCCCUAUAAUUCAACAAAUUAGCCAUCUUAGCUUUUGAUUGAAUCUUAACUUUCAACGCUAAUUCUCUUCCACGCAUGUCGNNNNNNNNNNNNNNNNNNNNNNNNNNNNNNNNUCAAGGUAAUUAAGCUGGGUAUUUGCGCGGAUCAAAUUCACCUUCCUGAAAUGAGAAACAUGUGUAUAUAAGAUAUUAAGAGCCUAACAAACAUCAUUGUAUCUAAUUGCAGGAGAUCUUCACGUCAUUUUCCAUAAAGUAGAUCUUCACGUCAUUUUCCGAUUGAUAUCUCAAUAAAGUCUUUAAACUUAGGCAUUGGGUAAGGAAUGUCAUGUUGAUUAACAUCAUCAACCCUAGUUGCUCCGUUCAACCUUAAUUCAGUACAAUAAAAUAAUCCAGACAUGUAAACUAAAAAAAAAUGAAAUUUUAGCGUUGAUGAUGCUACCAGAGAGUGAUGUUGGUCGUUUUCCCUUCCAUUUUCCCGUUAAUCUGAAAGGAAGAUAAGUAAAAAUGGAAGGAAAGUGAGUUAAAGACAGGACUAAAAGGAAGAAGAAAUGGAAAUUUAUCACAUUUUGUUGAAGGUUCAAGCCUUCUUCUCUCUUUCCUUUGAAUGCCAAUGACUAAAAGAAAUAUGUUUCCUCAUCUCAUUUUGCAUAUGCAAGUAAAAAUUCAAUUGUAGAUAUAUGACCAAAAUGUAGAUAUAAGAACUAAUUGUAGAUAUCUGAGCUAAUUGUGAUAGAAUAGCGUGCAUCGUCUAUGACACAUAAGAUUAUUACUAACCACACUGAUAAGUAGGAAAAUUAAGACAGAAUUUGACCUUCAACAAAGACAUAAUUGCAUCAACACUUUCCUUUGAUGAAGCUUAUAAUAUUAUAACCCUCUUUAACUUUAUUGCUUGUUGAAACUCCUCCUUCCUCAAUGAUUUUGCAGAUACAUACAUACACAAAAGAUUAAAAAAGAAAACAAAUUAAUUUGAUUUGGGAUUAUAAAAGAGAACUUCUUUUAGCACUAUAACUUGUGAAUGUGAAAGAAAACAAUCCCAAAUGAGUUUUAAGCAAGAAUACCUCAGACCCAACCACAUAGUAAAGCUCAAAAAUAAUCUUGAUGAUUCAAGGAAGGUUUCUCCAACACACCACUCACCUAUCCAAAAAAUGCAGCAAGUAUAUACUUCCUCUCCAUAAGAUCAUCCAUUUCAGGAUAUAGUUCAAAAGUAUAUGUACAUAACAAAAAAUAUAUAAUUUGUAAGGUUGAGUCUAAUAUAUGUAGGGCUAUACCAUAUUAUAAAAACAAAAGAAAAAUAAGGUUCAACACUCAGCUCAAAAGAUAAAUUAGAACUGCUCAAAAGAUAAAUUAACAUGCUAUAGAUCUAAAGCUACCAUUCAAUGUCUGCACUGAUAGCAGAACAAAAAAUACACAUACACUCUUUAUAGUAUCGUAUAUUUUAAGCAUUAAAGGUAUAAAAGAUGGAUUUUAUUGGAAGCUUUAAUGGUAUAAAAAUCAUACCUUUUACCUUUGACAAACGUGAUGAAAGAUUUUAAGCGUUUAAGGUUGAAAACAUAUAUUUGAAGUGUUAUGGCUAGAAAAAUAUGAUUUUAAUCGUCGUAAAACAUACCAAAAGAUGACAAAUCAGACCUUUUUAUCGUAAACGGUGACAAUGAAAGAUUGUAAGCGUGAAAACAUAGAUUUUAAGCGUUAAACCUAGAAAACACAGAUUUUAAUCGUCGUAAAACUUACGAAAAGAUUUAAAAUCAGACCUUUUUACCGUAAACGACGGCAAUGAAAGAUUGUAAGCGUGAAAACAUAGAUUUUAAUCCGGUGUCCAUAUCAGUGUCUAUACUUAUAAUCAAUAUAAGGACAUAACUAAACAUUAAAAGGUAACAUUUGAGUUAAAGAUGUAGGUAAGAAAAAUGGUAAAAUCAAUUUUGCAGAUUUUUUUUCCAAAGAUAGAAUGAAUGGUUAAGUAAAUAUACAAUUAAAAUGGUAAAAUAAAAUCAUCUUUUUGGACUGUCUUUUUGCACCAUAGCUUCUAAUGUUGAUGGAAAGCCACAACAACAUUUAAUCAAACACAUGGUGUGCAUAUAGAAAAUGAAAGUGAUGAGUAAAAUGAAUAAACAAAACAGAAAAAUAAAAUAAAUAAAGAAGAAGAACAACAACUAAAUUAUGUUUGAUAACCCUUUUCUAAAUUCUGAUUGAAAAAUUAAACAAUAAAAAAGAAAGAAAAAUCAAAUAUCUAGAAUGAACAUUUUGUCAAACACAUGGUGUGCAUGUAUAAAAUUGCAAUAAAACAACAUAAAGUUUACGAAAAUUCACAACAACAUUUUAUCAAACACAUGAUGUGCAAAUAUAAAACUGAAGUAGAACAACAAAAAAUUAAAAGAAUUAAAAGAGGAGUAAAUCCAACGCGGAAAAGAAACAAAACAAAUUAAUAAGAGAAAAUCAAAUACCCAUGUAGUUCUUCUUCUUCUUUCUCUCGUGUAGAACAAAGCUUUGAUUUCUUCAACACAAAAUAACGCACGAAAAAAUUGAAACAACAAAUCAUCAAACAAACUUAGUUUUAUAACAAAAAACAAACAAAAAUAAUGAAAAAAAUGAAGAAAUACUAGUGCAUACGAAAAUUUGAAAACGUAACCGCUUCGUACAUGGAUCUUUUUUCUACCGUCUCCCGCAGCCAUGUUUUCUUUCUCCAUAACAAAUCUGGCGAUGCAAGAGAUGAAGAAUGAGAAGUGAGAAGAAUGAGAAAAAAGAGAGAGAUGUUUACGGUAAAGAGAGAUAAGAGAUAGAUUUGAGUUUUUUU